CAAGCCGUGUGUGACUGGCGUAACGUGGGGAACCACGAGGGAGCACAUGGAUCAUAACAGCCGUACGCCUGGGCGAAAGUA
rnacentral:ncRNA from 2 species